AGGUGGAAGCUGAAUUAGUGAGGAUGACUCCUGCUCCUGUCAUCUCUAAGCUCCUCACACAUCUUUACCUGCACAUGAGGAAAAUCACUCCUGUAGAAUGCAGUGGUUCAUCAGAACCUCUGGGGAUGUCCUGUGGAUUCUGUGGAUCCUGUGGGUUGCAGGGUGGAUCCUACCUAGACCAGGCUGAUCCUGGACCAUCCCACAGAUGCUCCAUCAGAUGUGGAUGUGGGGAGUGUGGAACCCAGGUGAACAGCUUAGCUCUGUCGUGUUCCUCGGAUCACUCCUGAACAGUUUUUAGUUUGUCCUGCUGAGGGAGGCAGCUGGUAUCAAGGACUGCUGUUGCCAUGGAGACUAGGGGGUUGUUUGUCCUGCAGUGUUUAGGUGGUGGUACAUGUCAAACAUCCACAUGAACGUUAAGGUUUUCCAGCAGAACGUUACAUUAGAACAAGAUGAUGGAUGUUGUUCUCUUCAGCUGUCAGUGGUCAGAAUGUUGUGGCUGAUUGGUGGAUCUGUCUGCCUUUACUCUGACAUCCAGAGUUAUACAAAAGUGUAGUAUGUGUGCAGCGCAGAAGAGAUUUACUUUAAUUUAUGCAGUUUUUUUAAAGAGAGAGCAUUUUUUUUUUAUCCACCUGAAGAAGACCUAAUCUUUCCCUUCAAAGGAUAGUUAAUUGUUACUACGGCUUCCAUAGUGGUCUCAUCAGAGAAAAUCAUAUCCAUAUACAGAUUUUUAUUAUUUUAUUAUUGUUGUUUAUCAGCACAAUACAAAAAGAUUAAUGUUAGAAAUAUUCCAGUUAAGACUCUAGAAUAUCAUGAUUUAUGUAAAUUUACCUCAAUAAUAUGAAUGUUCAGGUUUUGUACAGUGAUAUUUAUUAUGUAAGUUUAGCUGAUUAAAGUUUAUGACUCUGCACUAAAAUAUUAUUUAAAUUGAUAUCAUUAUUAUAAUAUUUAGGGUCAGACCCUACAGUAUUGAGAUUAAGAAAUCAAAUAUUCUAUAAAAUGUAAAUACACUGAACUCAUUUGGAUAUAUUUAAGUGAGACUCUACAAUAUUAUUUGACACAAAUCUAUCUAAAUCAAAAUUUUAAUAAUUUUCAAGCCAAACAUUUACUGGACUGAUUUAAAUAUUAAAAUCAUUCCUUUCUAAUCCUCUGCUGUACGUUCAAACCUGAGGCCUUAAAUAGAAGCACACAAGUAUCUGAUUGAAGGAACUUCUGCAGUCCUGGUUCCAGAACAUGAUGAUAAAUUAUAGACAAACUUUAACAAAAGCUGCCUGAGAGUUUACAGGUUUUUAUUUUAGAUUUCUUCAGUAAUUUAAUGAGCGUUUUCAGCAAUAAUCAAGUGUUCAUUUGAUGAACUUCAUUUCCUAAAACAUCCAGAAUUGGAGCUCAUAUCUUUGGCAGCUGUAAAGUUUCUGCUCCUUCAAAGUUCACAACACAAUGAAUUAAUUCCUAAAACACUCUCAAUGCUGGAGAACGUUUGAUGCUGAAGCAGUGACCAGUUUUUCAGUUUCUUCUCUGGAGAUGCACAAUGAGGGACAUCUGCAGGGACUGAGAAAGAGUCUCACCACAUCCUGACAUGAGGAAAAAGACUUUAUUGAAGACUACAAUGAGAAAAACUAUCAGACAGCAGACGGCUGCAUUCAAGGUGAGCUCUGAACAUUUGAUCUGGAACAGGAAUUCAAUAACGGCAGCAUGAGCUUCAUUUCAGUCUGUAGCUGCUGAAUUCAUGGAUGGAUCAUCUGGCACUAGAGAGGAAGACCAUCAAACAUCCACGUCAGCUGAUGGAGGUCCAAGAGUCUCACCAAACAAACAACCUACAGAGUGAAGACCUCAAAUCUGAUUGGACGGCCUCCUAUUCAGCCACGUGUGAACAAAUGCCUCUAAGCUGAUUUGUUUUCUAAAAUAAAUCUAGUUUGAGUCCUAA